rnacentral:misc_RNA from 1 species
CCGAGCGUAGGGCGCCUCGCGCGUCCGACCUCCCAACCCUUUGUUAUAUUAACCUCGUGUUGCCUCGGGGGCGACCCGGACCUCGCGUCCGCCGGUCCCCCCGCUGGGCCUACCCAACUCUGCAUCAAUUGUCGUCCGAGUCUAUUGAAAAAUUCAAUCA